rnacentral:siRNA from 1 species
AGGAUUAUCCUACAUUAUUGUUAC